rnacentral:lncRNA from 1 species
ACCCGCCCGCUUUUCCUCCGGUUCUGCCCGCCGCCUGAGUUCGGAGCAGGGGGCGUGCUGCUGCGAAGGCUGUCCCGCCUGUCCCGCGCGGUUUCCAGGUCCCAGCCCACGACCCCCGUGGGCGGCUCAGCGGCCACGUGCUGGGUGGCGGUCCCGUCACCGGCUGCCCUCGCCAAAACAUGGGAUUCCAGCCCACUCCACCCCUAGUUACUCGGCCCAGCCCGGACCCUUCACCAGAUUCUCAAAUCAAUAUAAAUUAUGAAGCUCUCCAAUGCACGAAGCCCAGGGAAACAAGGUUAUGAUCAGAGGCUGGGCGACAAGGUGCCAACACUAGUCCAGGCAUUUGGAUGUGCCUUCACCGGCCAGGUUUUGGGGGACAGUCACCCACUUAAGGCACUUGGGGGUACUUCCAUGGGACUGGCCACCACGGAGGCAAUGACAAGCCCCGGGCUCUGCAGUCAUCUUCAAGGAACCCGCACGAGGUGGGGCCACCCGUGCUCUGUUCAUCCCUGA